UACGAAAGGUGCAAGCGUUACUCGGAAUUACUGGGCGUAAAGCGCACGCAGGUGGCUGAGUCAGUCGAUUGUGAAAGCCCUGGGCUUAACCUGGGAAUUGCAGUCGAUACUACUCAGCUAGAGUAUGGGAGAGGGUAGUGGAAUUCCCGGUGUAGCGGUGAAAUGCGUAGAUAUCGGGAGGAACAUCAGUGGCGAAGGCGGCUACCUGGCCCAAUACUGACACUCAGGUGCGAC
rnacentral:rRNA from 1 species